rnacentral:rRNA from 1 species
AUGAACGUUGUGCUUAUGCUGCGUUGGGUUUGGCGGAUCUUGCGGGGAGAUGGGGGGUUGUGGCUGCAGCUGGUUGAGUCCAAGUGCUUGGAGGGCCAACCCCUCAUGGCUUGCUCACACUCGGCGGGAUCCCAGUUCUGGAAAUCUAUUCUGGCCAUCAAGGAAGAGAUUAGGCUGCGUUUGUGUUUCUCAGUUGGCAAUGGGUCUGGGACCCAAUUUUGGUUGGACCCAUGGCUUGAGGGCGAGCCUCUCCGCUUGCGGUUCCCGAGGCUCUUUGCGAUUUGUGAUGACCCGAUCAUUCUUGUAUCUGCGGCUGCUUUGGAGGAGGGAUGGAACAUUGCGUUCCGCCGCUCAUUCGGACCAGAUGAGAUACGGGGAUGGACAAACCUGAGGGAAGUAGUGCCUCUUCCUCUGUCCCAGGACCCUGACACUGUUUCUUGGAGCCUUUCUCCUUCAGGUGAAUACUCCGUUAGUUCGGCCUAUCAGGCUUUAUGUCGUAUGCCGGUUCUACAGUGGCUAUCCCCAUUGUGGGAGGCACCGUUGCCCUUGAAGAUUAUGAUUUUUGUAUGA